rnacentral:rRNA from 1 species
CAGCCGCCACGGUAACACCGAGGGUGCAAGCGUUAAUCGGAAUUACUGGGCGUAAAGCGCACGCAGGCGGUCUGUCAAGUCAGAUGUGAAAUCCCCGGGCUUAACCUGGGAACUGCAUUUGAAACUGGCAGGCUAGAGUCUUGUAGAGGGGGGUAGAAUUCCAGGUGUAGCGGUGAAAUGCGUAGAGAUCUGGAGGAAUACCGGUGGCGAAGGCGGCCCCCUGGACAAAGACUGACGCUCAGGUGCGAAAGCGUGGGGAGCAAACAGGAUUAGAUACCCGCGUAGUCCCUGUCUCUUAUAC